rnacentral:rRNA from 1 species
UACAGCCAUAUCAUAUUGGAACACUGGUUCCUGUAUGAUCACUGAAGUUAAGCAACAUCAAGCCUGGUCAGUACCUAGAUGAGUGACCGCUUGCGAAUAUCAGGUGCUGUAAGC